rnacentral:rRNA from 1 species
UACGAAGGGGGCUAGCGUUGUUCGGAAUUACUGGGCGUAAAGCGCGCGUAGGCGGUGAUCUUUGUCAGAGGUGAAAGCCCUGGGCUCAACCCGGGAAUUGCGCUUGAGACUGGUGUGCUUGAGUACGGGAGAGGAUAGUGGAAUUCCCAGUGUAGAGGUGAAAUUCGUAGAUAUUGGGAAGAACACCGGUGGCGAAGGCGGCUAUCUGGACCGUAACUGACGCUGAGGCGCGAAAGCGUGGGGAGCAAACAGG